rnacentral:rRNA from 1 species
UACGGAGGGUGCGAGCGUUGUUCGGAAUCACUGGGCGUAAAGCGCGUGUAGGCGGCCCGCUAAGUCUGACGUGAAAGCCCGAGGCUCACCCUCGGAAGUGCAUUGGAAACUGGCGGACUGGAGUCCCGGAGAGGAGGGUGGAAUUCCUGGUGUAGCGGUGAAAUGCGUAGAUAUCAGGAGGAACACCGGUGGCGAAGGCGGCUCGCUGGGACGGUACUGACGCUAAGGCGCGAAAGCGUGGGGAGCGAACAGG